rnacentral:rRNA from 1 species
CCUACGGGAGGCAGCAGUGGGGAAUAUUGCACAAUGGGGGAAACCCUGAUGCAGCGACGCCGCGUGAGUGAAGAAGUAUUUCGGUAUGUAAAGCCCUAUCAGCAGGGAAGAAAAUGACGGUACCUGAUUCAGAAGCCCCGGCUAACUACGUGCCAGCAGCCGCGGUAAUACGUAGGGGGCAAGCGUUAUCCGGAUUUACUGGGUGUAAAGGGAGCGUAGACGGGAGCACAAGUCUGGAGUGAAAUGCCGGGGCUUAACCCCGGACCUGCUUUGGAAACUGUGCAGCUAGAGUGCAGGAGAGGUAAGUGGAAUUCCUGGUGUAGCGGUGAAAUGCGUAGAUAUUAGGAGGAACACCAGUGGCGAAGGCGGCUUACUGGACUGUAACUGACGUUGAGGCUCGAAAGCGUGGGGAGCAAACAGGAUUAGAUACCCCAGUAGUC